rnacentral:lncRNA from 1 species
GCCCUCUCGCCGGCCGACUCGGCCUGCCCCCCGCGCCCAGCCUCGAGCGCGCUACGGCCCGGGCGCCUCCCGGGUCGCAGAACCCGCCGCGCCCCCCUGCCCCGCAGGUCGGCUUCCUCUCCUGGAGGUGCGUCGACUGCGGGGGACUCGGUUUCCCCGCCGCUCCCUGUAGGUGGGCAUGGGCAACCCAAGUGACCUCGGCUGCAAAAGUUACCUAUGACUCCUCACAUUCUGUGUUUAAUUAUUUACCAAGACCUGAUGAAAAUCCCGUGAUUUUUCUGCUCAGUCCUCUGCCACGGUUUGAGUAUUUCCCACAGAAACCUGCUCCUUCAGCCAUGGUCAAAGUUGUGAAAAGUGGAUCUUCGAUGGCCGUCUCUAACUUCACACUCAAGCAUGUCACGUAAGAAGAGUAUGGAAUACUUGGAAGCAUCAUUCAUUGAAACCAUGUUGCACUGUGGCUGCCUCCUCUUCUUCAUCCUCGCGUGUGUGUGUGUGUGUGUGUGUGUGUGUGUGUGUGUGUGUGUGUGUACUAAGGAUCAAAAAACUCUACCCCUCAACUACAUCUCCAGCUAUUGGCUCUUUCUAAGACAAGUCUCAAUAAAGUAUGUAGCCCAGGUUGCCCUCAAACUUGUGUUAUUACUCUAUCCCUGAAGCCAUAUCUCCUUGAUUUCCUAGUGAGUGCUGUCUUAACCUUUUCAUUCCAUGUUAAGUGACUAAGGCUUCAAUAGCAUCAAAUUGAAGUUGUCACUAAACUCUAAGAGUCCAAAGGGAGGCUGAAAUUUCAUCCUUGGCAGAUUUAUCUAUCUUGGC